GAUGAACGCUGGCGGCGUGCCUAACACAUGCCAGUCGAACGAAGCACCUUACCUGAUUCUUCGGAUGAAAGUUUGGUGACUGAGUGGCGGACGGGUGAGUAACGCGUGGGUAACCUGCCCUGUACAGGGGGAUAACAGCUGGAAACGGCUGCUAAUACCGCAUAAGCGCACGAGGAGACAUCUCCUUGUGUGAAAAACUCCGGUGGUACAGGAUGGGCCCGCGUCUGAUUAGCUGGUUGGCAGGGUAACGGCCUACCAAGGCAACGAUCAGUAGCCGGUCUGAGAGGAUGAACGGCCACAUUGGAACUGAGACACGGUCCAAACUCCUACGGGAGGCAGCAGUGGGGAAUAUUGCACAAUGGGGGAAACCCUGAUGCAGCAACGCCGCGUGAGUGAAGAAGUAUUUCGGUAUGUAAAGCUCUAUCAGCAGGGAAGAUAAGGACGGUACCUGACUAAGAAGCUCCGGCUAAAUACGU
rnacentral:rRNA from 1 species